UACGGAGGGGGCAAGCGUUGUUAGGAGUUACUGGGCGUAAAGCGUGCGCAGGCGGCCCGUUAAGACAGGUGUGAAAUCCCUGGGCUCAACCUAGGAAUUGCGCUUGUGACUGGCGGGCUCGAGUACGGUAGAGGGGGGUGGAAUUCCUGGUGUAGCAGUGAAAUGCGUAGAGAUCAGGAGGAACACCGAUGGCGAAGGCAGCCCCCUGGGCCUGUACUGACGCUCAUGCACGAAAGCGUGGGGAGCAAACAGG
rnacentral:rRNA from 1 species